AACAAACCAAAAGUUAUAUUAUCUUACUAUCGAUAUUGUCAUCGAUUGUUUGGCAGCACUAAGAUCAAACAAUAUUAUUUAUGUUUUUCCCCGACACAUCGCUCGAUUUGCUUUACUCGGUUAAAGCUUGUUUGCUUAGAGGAUCCUGGUUUUUAAAAUGGCGGUUUGGCAUUGGCUUUUAGGAAUCGGAUUGACUGCAAUUGUCGCAAUAGUUACCCAAUAUCGAGCGUUACCGUCGACGAAUUCAUAUUCUCGAAAGAACGAACAAUUUGUAGAUCCCGAUAAUAUAUGCCCCAUUUGCUUUGAGGUAAUGGAGUCCAGAGACAUGAAUUAUUUGCCAUGUAUGCAUGCCCUUCAUGACCACUGCUUAACACGAUUGAAAACGCACUCCAAAAAAUGUCCGAAGUGUCGUGCUCCAUUUUAAAUGUGAAAUUAAAAAAAAAACGUUGCCUUAGAUGUGUUUAUUGAAUAAAAUUUUUGGUUUCCCGUUCUUUAAAGUUAAAAAUAAAGAAAACUGAUUUGAUCAAAUAAAGGAAUUAAAAAUGGGCAGUGCAA